UGGCCUACAAUGUAUGUGAGUAACUAUUAGAACAGCCUUUAAUUACAUAUUUCCACUAAUUUAUGCAUCCCUUUGCUGAUCUACCAAAAUAAGGUGAACAAUCUACUUCUCAGAUUAAUUUGAGAAGGACAUGAUAAGAAUUGCGGUUCCGAUAUUGUCCACAGAACAAUCAAUCUGCAAGCAUGAGUGUAUGACAAAUUUUAGUAGAGAUUUGUAGGAAGCAAACUUUGCUUGGAUGACUUCAUUGGAAGUUGGAGAGAAUAAUAGAAAGGUGAACGAGAGUCUAGCCCGAGAGUUUACAUAGAGGUCUCCAAUGCACCCCUAUUUAUAGGCAGACGGUCGGUCAGUUUUAGAAGGGCAAGAGUGAUAGAGAGAGUUAUGCUGCUCUACAUUAUCUGGCCGAGAUGAGCUGUUAUCCAUU
rnacentral:lncRNA from 1 species